CCUACGGGGGGCAGCAGUGAGGAAUAUUGGUCAAUGGCCGUAAGGCUGAACCAGCCAAGUAGCGUGAGGGAAGACUGCCCUAUGGGUUGUAAACCUCUUUUAUGCGGGGAUAAAGGUGUCCACGUGUGGAUGUUUGUAGGUACCGCAUGAAUAAGGACCGGCUAAUUCCGUGCCAGCAGCCGCGGUAAUACGGAAGGUCCGGGCGUUAUCCGGAUUUAUUGGGUUUAAAGGGUGCGCAGGCGGAAUGUCAAGUCAGCGGUAAAAUUUCGGGGCUCAACCCCGUCGUGCCGUUGAAACUGGCGUUCUUGAGUGAGCGAGAAGUAUGCGGAAUGCGUGGUGUAGCGGUGAAAUGCAUAGAUAUCACGCAGAACUCCGAUUGCGAAGGCAGCAUACCGGCGCUCAACUGACGCUCAUGCACGAAAGCGUGGGUAUCGAACAGGAUUAGAUACCCUUGUAGUC
rnacentral:rRNA from 1 species